UUUUUUCCAAAUUUCCAACACCGAGAAUAACACCUAAAUUUUCAAGCCAAAUCACAAAUAGUCCAACUCAUUAAACUUUUACACAAUAGAAAAUAACUCAAAAGCUCUUACAGAUUGUUAUCUGUGCAAUCUUUGCAUACAAAAGUAUUUGGCAGACCCCUCAAAUAUCCACAGGCUACGACAAGAAUGUGUCCUAAAGAAGAAAACAUUUUUUAUAAG
rnacentral:misc_RNA from 1 species